rnacentral:rRNA from 1 species
AGAGUUUGAUCAUGGCUCAGGAUGAACGCUGGCGGUAUGCCUAACACAUGCAAGUCGAACGAUGUCUUCGGACAUAGUGGCGGACGGGUGAGUAACGCGUGAGAAUCUGCCUCUAGGAUGGGGAUAACGGUUGGAAACGACCGCUAACACCCAAUAUGCCGUAAGGUGAAAAAUUUAUUGCCUGGAGAGGAGCUCGCGUCUGAUUAGCUAGUUGGUGGGGUAAGAGCUCACCAAGGCCUCGAUCAGUAGCUGGUCUGAGAGGAUGAGCAGCCACACUGGGACUGAGACACGGCCCAGACUCCUACGGGAGGCAGCAGUGGGGAAUUUUCCGCAAUGGGCGAAAGCCUGACGGAGCAAUACCGCGUGAGGGAGGAAUGCCUUUGGGUUGUAAACCUCUUUUCUCAGGGAAGAAGAUCUGACGGUACCUGAGGAAUAAGUAUCGGCUAACUCCGUGCCAGCAGCCGCGGUAAUACGGAGGAUGCAAGCGUUAUCCGGAAUCAUUGGGCGUAAAGCGUCCGCAGGUGGUUUCCAAAGUCUGCUGUUAAAGACUGGAGCUCAACUCCGGAACGGCGGUGGAAACUUGGAAACUAGAGUUCGGUAGGGGUAGCAGGAAUUCCCAGUGUAGCGGUGAAAUGCGUAGAUAUUGGGAAGAACAUCGGUGGCGAAGGCGUGCUACUGGACCGUAACUGACACUCAGGGACGAAAGCUAGGGGAGCGAAAGGGAUUAGAUACCCCUGUAGUCCUAGCUGUAAACGAUGGAAACUAGGUGUGGCUUGUAUCGACCCGAGCCGUGCCGUANCUAACGCGUUAAGUUUCCCGCCUGGGGAGUA